rnacentral:lncRNA from 1 species
GAUGAAGAUGACCCAAUUUCAGAUUUUGCAGAAAUAGCCCUUUUACUUUUGCAUUUUUACCCACCUUCAACUUUUCCUCAUACUCAGUGGUAAAUUUUCUGUUUUUGAGUGAAUCCGAGGUCUGAGAAUAAGCCAUUAAUGGAAGAUCCCCAGAAGACCCAUUUUCAGAUUUUGCAAAAAUAGCCACUUUCAACUUUUCCUCUGUACCUAAUUUUCCACAUUUUCAUGAACAAUGUACUUUGGUCUUUUUUCUUGUUGUUCAUCAUCAUCUGAUGAUGAUUCUGUAGCAUCUGGGUCUAAAAUUUUUACUCUUAUUUUCCUCUGGAUAAAGUCUUCUUCUUGAUUUCCUUCAAUAAAGUCUUGUUUGGCUGGUGAUUUCAUUGUAAGAAAGUGAAAAGAUGGGUGAUUUUUUUGUCAGUAAGACUGUUGUUUUUAGGGUAUUUGAGGUAUAAAAGUAGUUAGGUAAUCCUAUAUUUGUAAGGGGAAAAAGCCCAAUUAGGGCUAAAGCUUGAGGCAUAAGAGGAUGACAAAAGUAGUUCGGUGCGUUAAAGCUUUUGGAUUUAUUUAUUAACGUAG